UGGGGAAUUUUGGACAAUGGGGGCAACCCUGAUCCAGCCAUGCCGCGUGCAGGAUGAAGGCCUUCGGGUUGUAAACUGCUUUUGUCAGGGACGAAAAGGUCUCCGCUAAUACCGGAGACUGCUGACGGUACCUGAAGAAUAAGCACCGGCUAACUACGUGCCAGCAGCCGCGGUAAUACGUAGGGUGCAAGCGUUAAUCGGAAUUACUGGGCGUAAAGCGUGCGCAGGCGGUUUCGUAAGACAGAUGUGAAAUCCCCGGGCUUAACCUGGGAAUUGCAUUUGUGACUGCGGGACUAGAGUUUGGCAGAGGGAGGUGGAAUUCCAAGUGUAGCAGUGAAAUGCGUAGAUAUUUGGAAGAACACCGAUGGCGAAGGCAGCCUCCUGGGCCAAGACUGACGCUCAUGCACGAAAGCGUGGGGAGCAAACAGG
rnacentral:rRNA from 1 species